UUCGACAACCUCUCGAAGAUAAGUACAGACGUCUCCGUACCGAUCUACAAGACUCUACUAAACCUGCUCAUGACUCGUGAGACCUAUGUACCAUAGGCUCUAAAUGUCCCGACGACGCCUAUUGCAAUACUAGGCAAUCCAAAAACCACAAUAAAUCACGUAUUUUAUAAGUUUGGAAGCAUAAUAAAUUUAAACUUAAGAGUGAAAUCUCAUAAAUACUGAUACAAAAUAUCGUGACUCAAUACAUUACAUUCUCAAAACUCGAGUGUCACUGAGUACAUGAGCAUCUAAAUGACAAUAUAGUAAGACUGAUAAAAAUACUGUCUAGAAAUGUAGAACAGUAGAAAUAACCAAAAGCAAAGAGAGUCAAGGUUUGCGGAUGCCAAGGCAGCUACCUCGAUAGUCUCCAACAUAUACAACUCUGGAGAUCUAGCAGUCGUCGUAUCCGGAAGUACCUGGAUCUGCACACGAAGUGCAGAGUGUAGUAGUAUGAGUACAACCGACCCAAUGUACUCAAUAAGUAACAGGACUAACCUUUGGGCUAAAAGUAGUGACGAGCUCAACAGGUACAAUCCAAAUAUAGAAAAUAACAGUACAAAAAUGUAGACAUGCUUUCAAGUUCAGCAGUCAAGCUCAAUACAUGUAAAAUAUAUCAAGUGUGGCUGAAAUAAGGGGUGAUACAUUUCUACCUCAGCAUGUCAAUUAUACAUGCCAAUUGUAAUGCCACACAAUGGAAAAAUCAUAUGUAUGCUCUCAGAGUAUCAAUGCAUUUAAUCCUCUCAGCCACUCAAUUCUCACAGUCACUCAUUCCUCACAGUCACUUAAUCCUCCCAAUCGGUCGGCACUGUGGGUGUGCAGACUCCAGAGGGGCAGAUCCAGCCCAAGUACUAUAAUAAGCCAAUCAUGGCAUAAAUCAAUAAAACAUAUUGCAGCGUGCAGCCCAAUCCCAUAAUUAUACUCAUAAUUAGGCCCUCGGCCUCACUCAGUCAUCAAUAUCUCCAGUCUAUCGGGCUCACAAUGUCAUGAAUAUCAGCCCAACAUGAUGAUAUGAUAUAUCAAUGAAUGGAAACAGAGACUGAGAUAUGAUAUGCAAAUGAUGAAUGUCACUGACAAAAGCUACAAAAUACGAAGGACCAUUCAACCAUGAGUCCAACCAUACUAAAUUUACCAAAUUCCGACAUCAACUCGACCUCCAAAUCCUUAAUUUAAAGGCUAAAAAAUUUCUAUAAUUUUCAACUCAAUUCACUAAUUUAAUGAUAAAAAUAAUAAUGGAUUCGUGUAAUUUAACCAAAAUCGAGUUAGGAAUUCUUACCCCAAUGUAUUCCUUGAAAAUCUCCCAAGAAAUUGCCUCACACCGAGAUCAAAAUCCCGAGAAAUUGCCUCCCUAAUUUCAAAACUUAUGUUCUGCUGCCCAGGAAAUUACCCUUUGUGAAUACGGAAGGUGCUUCGCGUUCGCGAAGCACAAAAUGCUACUGCCCAAAAUUUCCUCUUUGCGAACGCGAGGAUCCACUUGCGAACGCAAUGACAAAAAAUGUUCCCAAACUUCGAGAUCGUGAAGCCAUUCACACAAAUGUGUAGACCAAUCGCAUGAGUCCCAUCCCAGGCUGCUUUUCUUCUUUGCGAACGCGACUGCCCUCUAGCGUUCGCGAUGCACAACUCACCCAAAUCUUCACGAUCAUGUUGCCCUCUUCACGAUCGCGAAGAACAAAUCCUUACCUGCAUGUAGAUGCCCUUCGCCUCCCUCGCGAACGCAAAGAAGGAAACCAGACUCAGCACAUUAGCAGCCUUCUAAGUCCAAAUUCCAAUCCGUUAACCAUACAGAAUCCACCUGAGGCCCCCGGGACCUCAACCAAUUAUGCCAACACAUCCUAAAAUAUGAUAUGAACUUAGUAGAUGUCUCAAAUCACAUUAAACAAUAUCAAAAACACAAAUUGUAUCCCAAUUCAAGCCUAAUGAGAACUAAAAAAUUUCAACUUCUAGAAUCUAUGCCGAAACCUAUCAAAUCAAUUCCGAUUGACCUCAAAUUUUGUACACAAGUAAUAAAUGACACAACAGACCUAUUCUAAUUUUCGGAACCAAAAUCCGACCCUGAUAACCACAAAGUCAACCCUCGAUCAAACUUCUCAAUUUUCCAAACUUCAAAUUUUCUAACUUUCGUCAUUCCAAGCCAAAAUCAACUACGUGCUUCCAAAUAAAUAUCCGAACACACUCUUAAGUCCAAAAUCACCAUACGAAGUUAUCGAAACCAUCAAAAUUUUAUCCCGGAGUCGCUUACAUAUAAGUCAAUAUCCGGUCAACUCUUUUAACUUAAGCUUCCAACCUUGGGACUAAGUGUCACAAUUCAUUGUGAAACAUCCCCAACAAUAAUACAACUACCCCGACAAGUCACAUAACAACAGUUGAGCAUAAAAUAAGCAGUAAAUGAGAGAACGAGACUGUAAUACUCAAAACGACCGGCAGAGUCGUUACACUUAUCGUCUCAAAAUUGGGGUCACUCCAACGAAAUAAAAUAAUAUCACAAUGCACUGAUUCGUCACUAAAAGAACAUGAAUACAACAAUAAAGUACUCACAGAAAAUUAGAUCUUCCUAAUUAAUUACUUAUUAGUACUACGGCUUAAAUGGUUUAUCUAAUGGGCAAUAAUUUAACAUGUAUCUCUAUUCAUAUUUCUAGAUUUUAUUAAACAAAACAAACAGAUUAUUAAACUUAAAUCUCAUGCUCCUGAAACAAAAACAAAAAAAAGGAAGUUGAAAUAAUAGAUCCAAGCAACAAGACAUCAACUAAACUAACCAAAACAGUUGGUCAUUUUCACGAAAAAAUACAAGAGCAAAAGAAAAAAUAAUAGAAACAAAUCUUCCAAAUAACUUCAAUGGAAUCAAAUAGUUAGGAGAAUAAGAAUAAACAAAUGAACCUUUAUUGCUUGAAAUUGCAAACGAUUACAGAGAAAGGGAAACUCCACACACAGCAAUCUUCAGUCGAGCUAUAGACCCGAAAACCCGAACCGGAAUCAACAUCCUUGAAGGAUUAAAAUUGAUUGAGUUGGGCGAUAGUUGCAGAUAUUAAAUGGGUUGUUUUAUGUAAAAAACAAAAAAGGAUUGUUUUGAGGUGGAGAAGAAUGGGUAAAGUUGCUGGAAUUGUUUUAGAAGAAAAAAUUGAUGUUAUUCCUUUGUCUUUUGCUACUAGAUGUAGAUCUUAGGAGAAGAAAGAAAAAAAUCCCUCCUCUCUUUCCUUUACCCACCUUCCUUUACUUUUAUUUUUAAAUUUCCAUCUUCC
rnacentral:lncRNA from 1 species